rnacentral:lncRNA from 1 species
AAUGAUGUCACAUAGAAAAGCAAUUUUACAAGUGUCUGACAGAUGAUGGAAUGGUCAAAGGAAAUCAGCUAUGCAAAUUGUGAGACAACUGGUCAACCUGUGGCAGUUUUAGGAGCAGAGAAGGAACCAAGCCAUGCUCAGGAGGAAUGGGCAAGAAGAGGGAGUCACAGAUGCUAAGGAGAAGACUAGGAGAGAUGGGUGCAUGCACGUCUCAGCUCCAUCGCAGGAAGUCACAGGUUAACUGACCCAAAGACUUCUUCAUCUCUACUUCCUCAGAAUGCGUCUACAAGUGAAUUUGUAUUUCUACCAGAAUGAAGUGUUUUACAACUUCACUAGAACAAACCACAGUGAGUUUAAAUGAAGUGGUGUGGGGAACUCGCUGCCUACGUUUAUAAAACUGUGCCACACAUGAUGUGUGUGCUCUUGAGAGCUCCACUGCAAGCACAAUCAAAUGUAGGUCUUGCAUAGGAAGAAAAUUCAGCACACCAUUAUAUUUAUACCCAAAUGCCAACAGUUCAAAGCUUCCAACCCUCACAGAGCUCUUCAGUUACUUCUGAAAAUUCUCCAAAUUCUUGAUUUCUGUGUCCCAACCUGUGUCACCAACUGUGACCCAUAAAGUGGGCCUGGGGCUCUUUACUGUCCAUUUGCUACCUCCUUUGUAGAGAGCACCCAGCUUCUUAUUUCUUCUAGGAAGCGUCCACCAUCCUUUUCUCAGGAGGAACUUUUCCUCUCAAUCCACACACCUGGGGAGAUCUUAUACUUACCAAAACAAAGCUGGGACCUAAGCCUGACCUACCAAUUCACUCAUUCCUUGGCCAUCUGAUUGGUUCAAGGCAGUAAAGUAACCCAACCACGGACAAGAAGAUAUGAUGUCAUGCUUGCAGAGCACUCUGAAGUGGGCCUGAGCUCUUGGCCGCCAUUUUGAUGCCAUGUAGGAUCUGGUCAUAGAGCUAACAGAUGACGAGUGGAUCCUGGGAAGGGGUCUGGCAAUGUCAACAUCAACAAUCUUACUCUUCAACCUCCCAGAUGUUCUUGGCAUCUCUCAUGUUCUCACCAUAACCAAGAACCGAGUGAUUUGACUGGCAGGGCAGUACUGUGAAGUCCAAGUCUGGAGCUAAGCAGUUUGAUACUUGUGUCUACCAGCUCUCCCUUUCCUGACACUUUCUUCAGUCACCACUGGUCACUCAGGUUUCAUCUGGAUAUUUAGUACUGUUGCAUGGCCGCCGGAAUCUCUCUUCUGUGUGUUUGCCCAAAUAGAAUGGAAUCACCACUCGUAAGAUACCUGUGUUCCCAGGACAGCUUUUGUCUUUAAACUGUCUUUCAUAAGAAACUGAAACUUGGCCCAAAGGUCCCCAGCUCCUGCUUCCGACUGGAAUGCUUAAGGAAGUGUGUGCCCGUUCCUACCAGAGCCACACACACACCUGGGAGGAGCAGAGGAACUGGUGAAUGAAGGCCGUUGAGUAGCAGUGUCUACUUCUUCUCUUCCAAGGAUGGAUCAUGUUUCCUAGUUCACCAUGCUCCUAUCUUAUGAGACAAAAACAAAGCAAGCAAGCAAACAAGCAAACAAACAAACAAAAACCAACCCUGUCUCUUAAGUACAUACAAAAGGUGGGCACCUAGAGAAUGGCCUUACAGCAUACAACAAAAUAGAUAGGGGAAGGCCUUUCUGAGUUCUCACCAAACACUGUGGUUCAAGCUCCACACAUACAUUUUUAAGACCUUUAAAUUUCUUUUCCCUAACAUUUAGAUGUUUUCAACUCACUGACUCAGACUUUUUAAAGAUUAAUAAACCUUUGCAAAUCUGUUCUUGUUGGCCAUUUUAACAGAUCUGUCCUGCAGACGUCUUAUCCCUACCCCCCUCAAAAUAAAACAAACCAAACAAUAAAUCAA